rnacentral:rRNA from 1 species
CUGGUUGAUCCUGCCAGUAGCAUAUGCUUGUCUCAGAGAUUAAGCCAUGCAUGUCUAAGUAUAAACUAAUUUAUACGGUGAAACUGCAGACGGCUCAUUAAAUCAGUUACAAUCUACUUGGUCAUGUCUCAUUGUUUCAAUGCAGACUUAAACGGAUAACUCUAGUAAUUCUAUAGCUAAUACGUGCAUCAAACUCUGACUUCUUCAAGGGGAAAGAGGGUAUUUAUCAGGCUAAGAACCAACUGAUCCUUCACUGGAUCAUUGUUGUUGAUUCAUGAUAACUGUACAGAUUGCAGAGUUCUUCUGUGAUGAACCAAGCGAGUUUCUGACCUAUCAACUUUAGAUGGUAGGGUAGUUGCCUACCAUGGUUGCAACGGGUACGGGGAAUUUGGGUUCGAUUCCGGAGAGGGGGCCUGAGAGAUGGCCACCACUUCUAAGGAAGGCAGCAGGCGCGCAAUUUACCCAAUGCCAACACGGCGAGGUAGUGACAAGAAAUACCAAUAUGGCAUCCAAAGGAUACCAUGUUUGGAAUGAGAACAAUUUAAAAACCUUAACGAGGAACAAUUGGAGGAAAAGUCUGGUGCCA